UGUAAUACGACUCACUAUAGGGCGAAUUGGGCCCAGACGUCGCAUGCUCCCGGCCGCCAUGGCGGCCGCGGGAAUUCGAUUGGAUUAGGCAUGCAAGUCGCACGUGAAAGACUUCGGUCGAGUAAAGUGGCAAAAGGGUGAGUAACACGUAAUUAACCUACCCUCUAGAUGGGGACAACCGCUGGAAACGGCGGCUAAUACCCAAUGUCGAUCUUGGAUCGCAUGUUCUAAGAUCGAAAUGGCGGGGAUCUUUCGGGACCCGCUGCUGGAGGAGGGGAUUGCGGCCUAUCAGCUUGUUGGUGAGGUAAUGGCUCACCAAGGCAUCGACGGGUAGCCGGUCUGAGAGGAUGGUCGGCCACACUGGGACUGAGACACUGCCCAGACUCCUACGGGAGGCUGCAGUCGAGAAUCUUCCGCAAUGGACGAAAGUCUGACGGAGCGACGCCGCGUGAAGGAUGAAGGCCCCCGGGUUGUAAACUUCUGUCAAAGUUCAAAGAAAGGGUAGUCGUGAAUAGCGGCUGCCUUGACAUUAGGCUUAAAGGAAGCACCGGCUAACUCUGUGCCAGCAGCCGCGGUAAGACAGAGGGUGCAAACGUUGCUCGGAAUCACUGGGCAUAAAGCGCACGUAGGCGGCCACGUUAGUGCGGUGUGAAAGCCCCCGGCUCAACCGGGGAACUGCAUCGCAUACUGCGUGGCUCGAGCUUGGGAGGGGAGAGUGGAACUCCUGGUGGAGCGGUGGAAUGCGUAGAUAUCAGGAGGAACGCCAGAGGUGAAGACGACUCUCUGGCCCAAUGCUGACGCUGAGGUGCGAAAGCUAGGGGAGCGAACGGGAUUAGAUACCCCGGUAGUCCUAGCCCUAAACGAUGGGCACUAAGUAGAGGGGUUUUAAUCACUAGUGAAUUCGCGGCCGCCUGCAGGUCGACCAUAUGGGAGAGCUCCCAACGCGUUGGAUGCAUAGCUUGAGUAU
rnacentral:rRNA from 1 species